CGCGCUCUCAGACACACACACACACAUACUGACACACACAUACACACACUGGUUCAGACACAGACACACACACGCACUAGCGCACACUCACGCCUGUACACCAGCGUGCACACUCACAGACACCCAUACCCAAACACUGGCAGGCACACAGUCCUCUCUCCUUUCUCUUCUCUUUUCUCCUCUCUCCUUUCUCUUCUCUUUUCUCCUCUCUCCCCUCUUGUCUCUUUCCUCUCUCCCCUCUUUCUCUCUUCCUCGGAGGCGGGCAGGCAGCAGCCUUCUCCCCUCCCCCCCUUUCCUCUGCUGGAAUUCCAUCCGGAUCAGCAGAAGGAGAAGACUUGGGUGAGGGAGCCCUCGCCUCUCUGUUGGAACAAGGCUGGGACAUUGGCCAGGAACGCUGCUGCCGCCUAGACGUGGAGGCCCAGAGCAGAGACGAGAAUCUCUAUCCAUCCUUCCUUCCUUCUGUCCUUCCAUCUUUCCCUCCCUUCCAGACUGUCCUGCUCACUCUGAAACCUGGGAUCCCUGUGCUUGGGGGGCCAAAGACAGAGGAGGACAGAGCCGAGGUCUGGCCAAGGAUUCGGUGCAUCUGGGGAGGAGGCAGUGGCUGCCAAUGACCGUUCAGGGGCAUUAGCAUUCUGAGGAUCUCCUUGACCAGAUGUGAGCAGGCAACAAACACUGUCUCAUAUAAUCACCAGUGAAAAAUCUCUGAAGCUCUGUCUCUGGCCCUGGGAGAAAAAUUCAAAAGAAUUUCUUCCUGCCACUGCCCAGAAACUGGAGAUCUCUUCCAUACCCUGAAGGAGGAUUCAGGGCUGGGGACUGAUGCUGCUACUCUUCCUGGGACAUCUUAGGCUCAUCCUCCUCCAGAUCACCCCCCUCUUCUUUCCUGAGGACCUAUCUUUGUUCCAGCUGGAGUGAUGGCCGUCAGAAAUGAGGAGACCUAGUCCUUCUCCUCUGGGAUCUUCCACCCUAGUUCUCAGACUCAUCGCUUGACCUCUGAGAUCAUCAAGCCAGGACUUCACUUUGUUUGUGUCAUGGAAGCUUUGGGAAGUCUGUAGAUCCCUUUUUAGGAUGUUUUUAAAUGCAUAAAAUAAAAUAAAAAGGAAACCAAAGAUGAGUGGAAAA
rnacentral:lncRNA from 1 species